UGUAAGAAGCAGGGCAGUUAUUCACCAACGUAACAUAAUACCUAAUUUUCAUUUACAGUUACUCAGUAUCUCCCGAAAUAUCUUCUAUGCAUUUAAGAUCACCAACAUUUAAAGAGAAGGUGGAGGAGCAGGAGCUAUGAAAGAGGAUCGGGAAGUACGGGUCUCUACGGAAGGUGCAAUUAAAUAGCCUGAAGCAGAACAACCAAAAGGUCUGGAAAAUCCACACACCAGGUAAUCGGUUUUUGAAAAAUUGGGAGUUAAUAGUACUUAGCUCUGUUAGUCAA
rnacentral:lncRNA from 1 species